UCUACGCGGCAUGUUUUUUAUUUAGUGAAACAAAUUUUACGUUUUAUCACAGUUAUUAGAACACCACGCGUUGGGCAGCACGUCUUUGUUUUAAUUAUAUCUGUAAGAGUGUCAGUGUGAAACUGAAAGUUUCUGAACUCAAGCGUUUGUAUUAUGUGUUUCGACCCGAAUACUGUCCAGACGUGUUUAACAGAAAACAUGUGUGGAAAACACACGUAAUCUUCCCGCCUUGUAUUGGGAUGAAUGGUUAGCGACUUACUUACAGUGGAUUAUACGAUUCAAGGAUUAUGGUUGACAACGCGUGUGCAUAAGGU